rnacentral:lncRNA from 7 species
AUUGUUUUCUUGUGGUUAAUUCUGUGCCUGUCUGAACAUCUAUCAGGAAAGCUUAAUCAGAGCUUCAUCAAUGAAAAAGGACUGGGAUAAUCUCUAAAGGAUAAUAUAGAGAAAAGAAAGCAUGGACUGUAACACAGCAAGGUAGACUUGGUCUGAGUUCUGACAUCUUGACAAAGAAAGCAGAAUGACUCUAAGUAUGUUCAAGUAUAUUUUAGUGCCUUUGUGAGUGCGUCUUGCAGCUGAGAUACAUUGUUUCUAGUCAAACAUGAGGAUUAGUCUCUAGAUUUUCUAUAGACCUCCUUUUCAUGCAUGCUUUCACCAAGUCUGUUUCCAAGACUUUUUUUUUUAACUGAGAGGUUUGGUGCCUUGAGGAACUGUCAUAAGAUGGAUAUAGUUGUUUUUCAUGUAUUACUAAUCUUGCUACAUUAGAAAUACCCAAAUAUAAUUUUUAAACAUUUUGAACCAAAAAAUAGGCAAAGCUCAGUGUAAAACUUUCAGAUGUCAACUUUGCACCAAAUUUUUUGCCUCUUGUGGAUGUACUCUGGAUCUUGAUGUGAUUGCUUAUGUUUUAUAGGAGUAUAUGUUGAUUACAUACUACCUUUUGUAAUGAAUUUUCUUCUAAGAUCUUAAAAAAAAAAAAUUACAUUAGAAUUGGGUUGUACAAAUCUUGCUCUUUUCCAUAACACUGCAAAAACAAUUUGAUUGUAUAAAUGUUGUAGUUUACUAUUUUCUAGUUUCUAUUAGAUGUCUUGUAUCUUGAGGUUGUCCUUUAAUGUCUGCUUCUUCUUCCCCUGUACCCAGCCAACCUUCAUAUGUACUUCUUACAGCUACUUUUCAGUCCUCAUGUUAAUUCAUAUUUACAUGUUGAAGUUGGCUAACCUUUUCCAUUUGCUAACUUGCUAACCAUCCAGCAGCUCUCAUUGGAUUCUGAGUAAUCAAGUCUUCAAAAAGAUCAGUUUACAUCUCUUACAUCCUGUGAAUAUAGAUUUAAGAAGUUGAAUUCUGAAAACCUUCACAAACACAUACAUUGAAGGUUUUGAGACAGAAAAAGGUUUUCCAAAAGCAUCUGUUUUCUGGGUUGUUUUCAAGAGGUCCUCUCCUGACCCAACACUCUGUUCAUGUAUGCUUCAGUUACUGCAAAUACUGUGUAAAGUUUUACUGCAAACUCUUCUGCUGUGUAUAAUACCUGAAGUAAGAAGCAGGAUUUUGCUGUUAAAUUCAUAAAACUUUUAUGUAAGAGGAAAAAGUAGACUGCCAGUAUAAAGAAAUGGUGUUAGGGGUGAGCAUUGUGUGCUUGUAAGCUAUGCAAGAUGCAUGUGGUCUGUUGCAAUGAGUUCACAGAGCCCUGAGCUAGUGCUGCUCCUGCCAGAACAUCUGUUCUGGCUGGGAGCAUCUAUAAGAAAUGCAACUACCCUGUUCGUCACAAGGUCAAACAUGCUUUCUUAAACCAAAAUGAUUUUUGACAAGAUGGAACACAAUUUGACCAGUUGUUGUACACUGAAAUUUUAAAUUAUGCACAUACUGUGUAUGACAGAUUUAUUUGAAGACUUUUUUUUUUAACCUUCAGCUAGUUAAAUAAGUCUGGCAACAAAAGGCCUUUCCUAUGGACCUAUAUACAUAGAUAGGUAGAUCUAUCUAUCUAUAUAGCUCAUACCUGGUGAUGUACCCAAGAAUAAAAUCACUCGUUCACUGGGAAUGCUCAUUAAACAAACAUAAAUUGGUUCCAUUGUCUGGAACUUGACUGUCCUCACU